AUACGUAGGUGGCAAGCGUUGUCCGGAAUUAUUGGGCGUAAAGCGCGCGCAGGCGGUCUUUUAAGUCUGAUGUGAAAUCUUGCGGCUUAACCGUAAGCGGUCAUUGGAAACUGGGAGACUUGAGUACAGAAGAGGAGAGUGGAAUUCCACGUGUAGCGGUGAAAUGCGUAGAGAUGUGGAGGAACACCAGUGGCGAAGGCGACUCUCUGGUCUGUGACUGACGCUGAGGCGCGAAAGCGUGGGGAGCAAACAGGAUUAGAUACCCUGGUAGUCCACGCCGUAAACGAUGAGUGCUAGGUGUUAGGGGUUUCGAUACCCUUAGUGCCGAAGUCAACACAUUAAGCACUCCGCCUGGGGAGUACGGCCGCAAGGCUGAA
rnacentral:rRNA from 1 species